rnacentral:rRNA from 1 species
AUUGAACGCUGGCGGCAGGCCUAAUACAUGCAAGUCGAACGGUAACAUGAAAAAGCUUGCUUUUUUGAUGACGAGUGGCGAACGGGUGAGUAACGCGUGAGGAACCUGCCUUUCAGUGGGGGACAACAGUUGGAAACGACUGCUAAUACCGCAUGAUACUAUUGAGUGGCAUCACUUGAUAGUCAAAGAUUUAUUGCUGAAAGAUGGUCUCGCGUCUGAUUAGCUAGUGGUGAGGUAACGGCUCACCAAGGCGACGAUCAGUAGCCGGUCUGAGAGGAUGAACGGCCACAUUGGGACUGAGAUACGGCCCAGACUCCUACGGGAGGCAGCAGUGGGGAAUAUUGGGCAAUGGGGGAAACCCUGACCCAGCAACGCCGCGUGAAGGAAGAAGGCCUUCGGGUUGUAAACUUCUUUUACCAGGGACGAAGAACGUGACGGUACCUGGAGAAAAAGCAACGGCUAACUACGUG